rnacentral:rRNA from 1 species
ACAAUGAAGAGUUUGAUCCUGGCUCAGGAUGAACGCUAGCUACAGGCUUAACACAUGCAAGUCGAGGGGCAUCAGGAAGAAAGCUUGCUUUCUUUGCUGGCGACCGGCGCACGGGUGAGUAACACGUAUCCAACCUGCCCUUUACUCGGGGAUAGCCUUUCGAAAGAAAGAUUAAUACCCGAUAGCAUAAUGAUUCCGCAU